UUUUUUUAUUACAGCCUAUAAAGAGAACAAUACUGUAAAAACAUUUUUGUUCAGUGAAGCAUUGUAAUUUCAGUGUGAAUUACUAGAUUGAAGUGUCCCGUGAUUCAUUCAGUUAUUUGCCUUGCUGGUUGCUGUGCUGUGACAAUCCUGUGCUCUGAGGUGUGUCCCGACCAGGACAACCAUGAGCUGGAUGUGUGAUGUGGAUAACUGCAGCUUGUGGCCAACAUCAGAAAGAUCGAAGAACAGAAUACAGUUGGAAGCCAACAACAUAUUUGUGGUAAGAAGAAAAAAGCAUGAAUUGGGUGCUGCUGCUGUUUGGUUACUACUGACGUCUCAUAGAAUGAAUGCUGGCAACAGGCUAAUGUCAGUCUUGACUAAGGAAAGUUUUGAUGGAUUAGAGGUGUUCGUGAAUCUGUUGAUAAUCAUCUCCAGAUACUUAAUGAGCUCAGAACAUCUCAAAGGUGUUAGCAGUUGUUUUCAAGAAUUUGCAAAGGACAAGUAAGAUAUGAAAUGACUGAAGAGGGGAAAUAUUUUGCCUGUUUUUUUUUUAAAGCAGACAACUGUUGUGUUAUGAACAUUUCUCUUGAACUUCCAGAAAAGUACCUAAGGAAAUAACUACAAAAUUGAGCUGUAAUCUGUAGAAGGUACUGAGAGGAAUAACUCUUAUAUGAAAACUCUGAAAACAGCAACAAAACAAGAGUACCUGCCAAGUACUGUAAGCUCAGCAUGAUUUUUGAUGUUUUUGUGAUCUUUCUCUGUAAACAAGCACGGUUUAUUUAAAUCUCAUGCAAGAUGAGAAGAAAUAUGUAGAAUACUCAUCUGGUGUACUCACUGUCGGAAAGAAUGUAUUGAGUGCAGCUCUGUAAAGAUCUUUAGUUCUGUUUUUACAUUAUGUUAAUUAGUGAUCUGUAUGAAGCGACUUGCUACAGUUUCAGAUCAUACUGAGUGGGAGCAGUGUGAUGUGGUACAUUUUCAGCUUCUUCAUAGCAAGGAUGCUCUUGUUCUCAAGCUGAACUAGACUGAAAUGGUCUCAUUGCUGCUGCAUCUAAGCCCAAGAAAUGUAUGAUCAGUAAAAACUACAAAAUCACAAUAGCCUCAAAUCAAGAUAUAUUUUUAUAUGAGAUGGAGAAAGUAUAGAAUAAAUUGUUGAAGACAUCUGAUAUGAUCUGCUCU
rnacentral:lncRNA from 1 species